CCUACGGGAGGCAGCAGUGAGGAAUAUUGGUCAAUGGACGCAAGUCUGAACCAGCCAUGCCGCGUGCAGGAAGACGGCUCUAUGAGUUGUAAACUGCUUUUGUACGAGGGUAAACGCAGAUACGCGUAUCUGUCUGACAGUAUCGUACGAAUAAGGAUCGGCUAACUCCGUGCCAGCAGCCGCGGUAAUACGGAGGAUUCAAGCGUUAUCCGGAUUUAUUGGGUUUAAAGGGUGCGUAGGCGGUCGGAUAAGUUAGAGGUGAAAUCCCGAGGCUCAACUUCGGAAUUGCCUCUGAUACUGUACGGCUAGAGAGUAGUUGCGGUAGGCGGAAUGUAUGGUGUAGCGGUGAAAUGCUUAGAGAUCAGACAGAACACCGAUUGCGAAGGCAGCUUACCAAGCUACUUCUGACGUUGAGGCACGAAAGCGUGGGGAGCAAACAGGAUUAGAUACCCCUGUAGUC
rnacentral:rRNA from 1 species